rnacentral:rRNA from 1 species
GAUGAACGCUAGCGAUAGGCCUAACACAUGCAAGUCGAGGGGCAUCACAUGAGGUAGCAAUACCGAUGGUGGCGACCGGCGCACGGGUGAGUAACACGUAUGCAACCUGCCUUCAACAAGGGCAUAACCCGUUGAAAGACGGACUAAUUCCCUAUGACACAGGGGUCCCGCAUGGGGAUAUUUGUUAAAGAUUAAUCGGUUGGAGAUGGGCAUGCGUUCCAUUAGCUUGUUGGCGGGGUAACGGCCCACCAAGGCAACGAUGGAUAGGGGAACUGAGAGGUUUAUCCCCCACACUGGUACUGAGACACGGACCAGACUCCUACGGGAGGCAGCAGUGAGGAAUAUUGGUCAAUGGGCGCAAGCCUGAACCAGCCACGUCGCGUGAAGGAAGACGGCCCUACGGGUUGUAAACUUCUUUUGCAAGGGAAUAAAGUUGGCCACGCGUGGCCUUUUGCAUGUACCUUGCGAAUAAGGAUCGGCUAACUCCGUGCCAGCAGCCGCGGUAAA